ACAAAAUCGAUUCUUUUCUUUGGGAUGCAAAAUCCAGCAUUGUGGCACUAUCCUGAUCGGUGGCUUUUGUGUUUCCAGUGCUUUUUGAUCCUGGAAAUGCCUCAUACAUUC